ACGUUUUGUAUCCAUAACAUGAUUGUGUUGUACCAUUUAGCAGUAAAAGCAGUAGCCUAUGUAAGUCAAUCCUACAUUUUUCAACUCGGGAUCAAAACGUGCUCCUUGGGGAAAAAAGUUACCAUAAGCUCUGUUAGUGCUAAUUUAACAACUGGACUUUGGGAGCAAGUGUUGUCAUAUGCGGCCCAUGUCCCAGAUGUGAAAGCCCCCUUACUGGACUACUGAAUAUAAUAAUAUUCCAUUAUAUUUUGUAUUUUUGAAUUGUUACCUGCC